CCCAGGCUUCUAUGGUAUACUUUUCUUACCCCUGCGCAAAAAUAUGAAGAUCUGUGGAUUAACUGGGUGCUGCGGGAAGUGGAGGCGCCACUGGCAAUGUGAGCAUCGUCGUUAAAGGCGGAAAUUUAGGACGAGGUUUAACCCAGUGCAUCUGGACCGCAGGUAUGCUCCCUACCUACCCCCAGUAUGAGGGGCAGUGCUCCCAUGAUGGUUAAGAGAUUUGACAGAGCCAGAAGAGUGGCCUAGAAACGCCUCCAUCUGCACUUAGGCAAUUACAAAGUGCGUGGUUCAGCCCUUUGAAUGCAUACAACAUGGUGAAAGACCCUGCCGGGGACAUGAAUGCACAUUAAAGGGUGCAUUUGCUUCGAGAAGCAGCCUUGCAGCUCAUCCAAUGUUUGAAGAAAUGAUUCGGCUAUUCCCUUCUUAAGUAUAUACCCAAGAAUGCAAACAUAUGGCCUUGGAAAUGUCACAGAUGUUCAUAGCAGCAUUUUCAUAAUUGCUUCCAAAAUGGAAACAUCCCAAAUAUCAAUUAAUGAAUAAAAAUGUGGAAUAUCCAAUCAAUA